UAGGGAAUUGUUCGCAAUGGGCGCAAGCCUGACGACGCAACGCCGCGUGGAGGAUGAAGAUCUUCGGGUCGUAAACUCCUUUCGAUUGGGACGAAUUCCCUGGAGGUGAACAAUCUUCGGGGUUGACGGUACCGAGAGAAGAAGCCCCGGCUAACUCCGUGCCAGCAGCCGCGGUAAUACGGGGGGGGCAAGCGUUGUUCGGAAUUACUGGGCGUAAAGGGCUCGUAGGCGGCCCACUAAGUCAGACGUGAAAUCCCUCGGCUUAACCGGGGAACUGCGUCUGAUACUGGAGGGCUUGAGUUUGGGAGAGGGAUGCGGAAUUCCAGGUGUAGCGGUGAAAUGCGUAGAUAUCUGGAGGAACACCGGUGGCGAAGGCGGCAUCCUGGACCAACACUGACGCUGAGGAGCGAAAGCCAGGGGAGCAAACGG
rnacentral:rRNA from 1 species